rnacentral:lncRNA from 1 species
GUUCUGGGUACUAUACUUACUCUGAGGGGGUUGGCAAAGGGGGCUCCGCUGAGGCCAGAAGAAAAAUGGAAACCUCUGGACAAUCCCAGAAACCGAGAUCUGUUUUUCAGAACACUCCAGGGUUAUUUUUCGGGAAGAGGUCUUGAUCUGAGAAAGUUCCUAGAUACUUUCUCCAUGAAUAAUGACAGACCCAGGCCUGUAGCUAUCUACUCGGAUCCCACUGCUUCUGCAUUUGCAGAUUAUGAAGAAAAGAAAAAAUUAUUUCAGAACUACUUCAAAGGCUGAAAGAAGCUGCUGACCAAGGUGGUUACUUUUGGACUUCAUGUGAAUUGGAAGCAUACAUGGCAAAAUGUUACUGCUUUGGGGUUUCUAACUAUUAUCUGACAAUUUAACAUUUUCUUCAGCAUCCGAGUCUUAACAUAUACAAAUCUGACAUCUGGCUGCAAUUGCCAUAUUUGCUCACUUUUCAGGUGGUGAGGUAUGGAUGGUUGUGAAGAUUGGUCUGACAAGAUUUUACUUGUUGAAAUGUAAAUGAAGGAAAAGUUAAAUCUGAUGUAGUAUGUCUGACUAUUCCUAAUU